UAGAGUUUGAUCCUGGCUCAGAUUGAACGCUGGCGGCAGGCCUAACACAUGCAAGUCGAGCGGAAACGAGUUAUCUGAACCUUCGGGGAACGAUAACGGCGUCGAGCGGCGGACGGGUGAGUAAUGCCUAGGAAAUUGCCUUGAUGUGGGGGAUAACCAUUGGAAACGAUGGCUAAUACCGCAUAAUGCCUACGGGCCAAAGAGGGGGACCUUCGGGCCUCUCGCGUCAAGAUAUGCCUAGGUGGGAUUAGCUAGUUGGUGAGGUAAUGGCUCACCAAGGCGACGAUCCCUAGCUGGUCUGAGAGGAUGAUCAGCCACACUGGAACUGAGACACGGUCCAGACUCCUACGGGAGGCAGCAGUGGGGAAUAUUGCACAAUGGGCGAAAGCCUGAUGCAGCCAUGCCGCGUGUAUGAAGAAGGCCUUCGGGUUGUAAAGUACUUUCAGUUGUGAGGAAGGGGGUGUCGUUAAUAGCGGC
rnacentral:rRNA from 1 species